GAGUUUAGGCUGCGCUGACCCCUCUCAGCCCCCCCUCCAGUGCCUCCCAAAUCUCCAAGCCCACCCUGUCCUGUGGUGGCAACUGAGGCUUCCCGGGGGCAUCGGCCUCAGAUUACCUGAGAACUGGGCAGCCUCGUCCUGAGCAUGACGGAGAAGGGGACCUGGGGCUAGGGAAUCCCUGAUUCAAUCAUGCCGCUCCCCAGGAGACGUUCGGAGCCCAGGACAUGUCGGGAAUGAGGAGAUACGAAGUGGCGCUGGAGGCGGAGGAGGAGAUCUACUGGGGCUGUUUCUACUUUUUCCCCUGGCUGCGCAUGUGGCGGAGGGAGCGGAGCUCGGCGCACCCCGGGGAGCAGAAGCUGGAGCCUCUGCGAGGCCUGAUGAGCUGUCUGUCCAGCGGCCUGGGCCCUGCUCCCCAGCGCUCGGGUCGUAGCCUCCCCCGCCGCAGCCCCACCGCCGCUGCCCAGCCAGCCAGUGCAUUAAAGAUUUAAACCGAA